rnacentral:rRNA from 1 species
UGGGGAAUAUUGGACAAUGGGCGAAAGCCUGAUCCAGCCAUGCCGCGUGUGUUAAGAAGGUCUUCGGAUUGUAAAGCACUUUAAGUUGGGAGGAAGGGCAGUAAGCGAAUACCUUGCUGUUUUGACGUUACCGACAGAAUAAGCACCGGCUAACUCUGUGCCAGCAGCCGCGGUAAUACAGAGGGUGCAAGCGUUAAUCGGAAUUACUGGGCGUAAAGCGCGCGUAGGUGGUUCGUUAAGUUGAAUGUGAAAGCCCCGGGCUCAACCUGGGAACUGCAUCCAAAACUGGCGAGCUAGAGUAGGGCAGAGGGUGGUGGGAUUUCCUGUGUAGCGGUGAAAUGCGUGGAUAUAGGAAGGAACACCAGUGGCGAGGGCGACCACCUGGGCUCAUACUGACACUGAGGUGCGAAAGCGUGGGGAGCAAACAGG